rnacentral:rRNA from 1 species
AGAUGAGUUCUCCCUGAGACUUAAAGUCUCCUGAAGGAACGUUGAAGACGACGACGUUGAUAGGCCGGGUGUGUAAGCGCAGCGAUGCGUUGAGCUAACCGGUACUAAUGAACCGUGAGGCUUAACCCU